UUCUGGGGUUGCAUGGGGUGGUAUUGGGGUUACAUGGGGCUAGCGUUGGGGUUACAUGCGGCUAGUUUUGGGGUUACAUGGGGCUGGGGUUACAUGGGGCUGGUGUCAGGGUUACAUGGGGCUGGUGUUGGGGUUACAUGGGCUGGUGUUGGGGUUACAUGGGGCUGGGGUUACAUGGGGCUGGUCCUGGGGUUACAUGGGGCUAGCGUUGGGGUUACAUGUGGCUAGUGUUGGGGAUACAUGGGGCUGGGGUUACAUGGGGAUGGUGCUGGGGCUACAUGGGGCUGGUGUUGGGGUUACAUGGGACUGUUGUUGGGGUUAUAUGGGGCUAGCGUUGGGGUUACAUGUGGCUAGUGUUGGGGUUACAUGGGGCUGGUGUUGGGGUUACAUGGGGCAUGUGUUGGGGUUACAUGGGGCUGGGGUUACAUGAGGAUGGUGCUGGGGUUACAUGGGGCUGGUGUUGGGGUUACAUGGGGCAUGUGUUGGGGUUACAUGGGACUGGUGUUGGGGCUGGUGUUGGGGUUACAUGGGACUGGUGUUGGGGUUACAUGGGGCUGGUUCUGGGGUUGCAUGGGGCUGGUGUUGGGGUUACAUGGGGCUGGGGUUACAUGGGGCUGGUGCUGGGGUUACAUGGGGCUAGCAUUGGGGUUACAUGUGGCUAGUGUUGGGGUUACAUGGGGCUGGGGUUACAUGAGGAUGGUGCUGGGGUUACAUGGGGCUGGUGAUGGGGUUACAUGGGACUGUUGUUGGGGUUAUAUGGGGCUAGCGUUGGGGUACAUGUGGCUAGUGUUGGUGUUACAUGGGGCUGGGGUUACAUGGGGAUGGUGUUGGGGUUACAUGGGGCUGUUGUUGGGAUUACAUGGGGCUGGUGCUGGGGUUACAUGGGGCUGGUGUUGGGGUUACAUGGGGCUAGUGUUGGGGCUGGUGUUUGGGUUACAUGGGACUGGUGUUGGGGUUACAUGGGGCUGGUUCUGGGGUUACAUGGGACUGGUGUUGGGGUUACAUGGGGCUGGUUCUGGGGUUACAUGGGACUGGUGUUGGGGUUUCAUGGGGCUGGUUUUGGGGUUACAGUGGGCUGGUGUUACAUGGGGCUGGUACUGGUGUUACAUGGGGCUGGUUCUGGGGUUACAUGGGGCUGUUGUUGGUGUUACAUGGGGCUGGUUCUGGGGUUACAUGGGGCUGGUGUUGGGGUUACAUGGGGCUGGUGUUGGGGUUACAUGGGGCUGGUGUUGGGGUUACAUGGGGCUGGUGUUGGGGUUACAUGGGGCUGGUGUUGGGGUUACAUGGGGCUGUUGUUGGGGUUACAUGGGGCUGGUGUUCCAUGGGGCUGGUGUUCCAUGGGGCUGGUGUUGGGGUUACAUGGGGCUGGUGUUGGGGUUACAUGGGGCUAGCGUUGGGGUUACAUGGGGCUAGCAUUGGGGUUACAUGGGCCUGGUGUUGGGUUUACAUGGGGAUGGUGUUGUGGUUACAUGGGGCUGGUGUUGGGGUUACAUGGGGCUGGUGUUCGGGUUACAUGGGUCUGGUGUUGGGAUUACAUGGGGCUGGGCUAACAUGGUUCUGGUGCUGGGGUUACAUUGGGCUAGCAUUGGGGUUACAUGUGGCUAGUGUUGGGGUUACAUGGGGCUGGGGUUACAUGGGGAUGGUGCUGGGGUUACAUGGAGCUGGUGUUGGGGUUACAUGGGGCUGUUGUUGGGAUUACAUGGGGCUAGUUCUGGGGUUGCAUGGGGGUUACAUGGGGCUAGCGUUGGGGUUACAUGCGGCUAGUUUUGG
ensembl:lncRNA